AAUAGAUACCCUGGUAGUCCACGCCGUAAACGAUGAGUGCUAAGUGUUAGAGGGUUUCCGCCCUUUAGUGCUGCAGCUAACGCAUUAAGCACUCCGCCUAGGGAGUACGGUCGCAAGACUGAAACUCAAAGGAAUUGACGGGGGCCCGCACAAGCGGUGGAGCAUGUGGUUUAAUUCGAAGCAACGCGAAGAACCUUACCAGGUCUUGACAUCCCACUGACCGGUAUAGAGAUAUACCUUUCCCUUCGGGGACAGUGGUGACAGGUGGUGCAUGGUUGUCGUCAGCUCGUGUCGUGAGAUGUUGGGUUAAGUCCCGCAACGGGCGCAACCCUUGAUCUUAGUUGCCAGCAUUUAGUUGGGCACUCUAAGGUGACUGCCGGUGACAAACCGGAGGAAGGUGGGGAUGACGUCAAAUCAUCAUGCCCCUUAUGACCUGGGCUACACACGUGCUACAAUGGAUGGUACAAAGGGCUGCAAGACUGCGAAGUCAAGCCAAUCCCAUAAAACCAUUCUCAGUUCGGAUUGCAGG
rnacentral:rRNA from 1 species